CCUGGUCUUGACAUCCACAGAACUUUCCAGAGAUGGAUUGGUGCCUUCGGGAACUGUGAGACAGGUGCUGCAUGGCUGUCGUCAGCUCGUGUUGUGAAAUGUUGGGUUAAGUCCCGCAACGAGCGCAACCCUUAUCCUUUGUUGCCAGCGGUCCGGCCGGGAACUCAAAGGAGACUGCCAGUGAUAAACUGGAGGAAGGUGGGGAUGACGUCAAGUCAUCAUGGCCCUUACGACCAGGGCUACACACGUGCUACAAUGGCGCAUACAAAGAGAAGCGACCUCGCGAGAGCAAGCGGACCUCAUAAAGUGCGUCGUAGUCCGGAUUGGAGUCUGCAACUCGACUCCAUGAAGUCGGAAUCGCUAGUAAUCGUGGAUCAGAAUGCCACGGUGAAUACGUUCCCGGGCCUUGUACACACCGCCCGUCACACCAUGGGAGUGAGUUGCAAAAGAAGUAGGUAGCUUAACCUUCGGGAGGGCGCUUACCACUUUGUGAUUCAUGACUGGGGUGAAGUCGUAACAAGGUAACCGUAGGGGAACCUGCGGUUGGAUCACCUCCUUACCUUAAAGAAGC
rnacentral:rRNA from 1 species